rnacentral:rRNA from 1 species
AGCGAACGUUGGCGGCGCGCCUAACACAUGCAAGUCGAACGCGAAAGGACCUCGGUCCGAGUAGAGUGGCGCACGGGUGAGUAACACGUGAGUAAUCUGCCCUUUAGCCUGGGAUAACACGCCGAAAGGCGUGCUAAUACCGGAUGAGACCACGGAAUCUUCGGAGACUGUGAGAAAAGGCGGGGUCCGCAAGGACCUGUCACUGAAGGAUGAGCUCGCGGCCUAUCAGCUUGUUGGCGGGGUAAUGGCCCACCAAGGCUACGAUGGGUA